CUUACGUGAACUGUGAUUGGCUCGCGGGAGCCUGAAUUUAAAGGCACCGCGCCGUCUAGGGGCUGGAGUAAGGGAAGAGGUCUGUAGAGUUCGUUGCGGAGUCAGAUCACUCAGAUAUGCGCUGGAAGAAACUGAGAAAUUACCUAGCCUAGUCCUGGUCAUCCGCUACUUUCAGGAGCCCAAAGAGAUUGAGUCACUAGCUCAACUCCACACUAUACUCUUCCAGAGACUAGGAAAGAGUCUCCAAACCCUGGAGCUAGCUGAGACAGCUUCAGAUUCCACAGCAGCCCUAUCUCUCGCCACUACCUCCCUGCCCCAGCAGAGAAGGAGAGCAAAGGAAACUAACAUUUACUGAAUGCUUACUACACCCAAGUACAUCGGGAGAAACAAAUGUAACAAAUGACUUGCAGAGAGUUCAGUACAUCCACAUAAACAAGAUGGUAACAGUACAGGAACAAUGAGGAAGUAAGUAGAUGUUUGUUCC
rnacentral:lncRNA from 1 species